UGCAGUCGAGCGGAGAUGUUGGAGCUUGCUCCAACAUCUUAGCGGCGGACGGGUGAGUAACACGUGGGCAACCUGCCCUGCAGAUCGGGAUAACUCCGGGAAACCGGUGCUAAUACCGAAUAGUUUGCGGCCUCUCAUGAGGCCACACGGAAAGACGGUUUCGGCUGUCACUGCAGGAUGGGCCCGCGGCGCAUUAGCUAGUUGGUGAGGUAACGGCUCACCAAGGCCACGAUGCGUAGCCGACCUGAGAGGGUGAUCGGCCACACUGGGACUGAGACACGGCCCAGACUCCUACGGGAGGCAGCAGUAGGGAAUCUUCCGCAAUGGACGAAAGUCUGACGGAGCAACGCCGCGUGAGUGAAGAAGGUUUUCGGAUCGUAAAACUCUGUUGUGAGGGAAGAACAAGUACCAAGUAACUACUGGUACCUUGACGGUACCUCACCAGAAAGCCACGGCUAACUACGUGCCAGCAGCCGCGGUAAUACGUAGGUGGCAAGCGUUGUCCGGAAUUAUUGGGCGUAAAGCGCGCGCAGGCGGUCCUUUAAGUCUGAUGUGAAAGCCCACGGCUCAACCGUGGAGGGUCAUUGGAAACUGGGGGACUUGAGUGCAGAAGAGGAAAGUGGAAUUCCACGUGUAGCGGUGAAAUGCGUAGAGAUGUGGAGGAACACCAGUG
rnacentral:rRNA from 1 species